AACAAACGCUGGCGGCGUGCCUAACACAUGCAAGUCGUACGAGAAAGUCCGCUUCGGUGGAUGAGUAAAGUGGCGCACGGGUGAGUAACACGUGGAUAAUCUACCCUUCAGUUUGGAAUAACGUACCGAAAGGUGCGCUAAUACCGGAUAAUAUCCCGGUUUCUUCGGAGAUCGGGAUCAAAGAUGGCCUCUGCUUGCAAGCUAUCGCCGAAGGAUGAGUCCGCGUACCAUUAGCUAGUUGGCAGGGUAAUGGCCUACCAAGGCAACGAUGGUUAGCUGGUCUGAGAGGAUGAUCAGCCACACUGGAACUGAGACACGGUCCAGACUCCUACGGGAGGCAG
rnacentral:rRNA from 1 species